GUGCCAGCAGCCGCGGUAAUACAGAGGGUGCAAGCGUUAAUCGGAAUUACUGGGCGUAAAGCGCACGUAGGUGGGUUGGUAAGUUGCUGGUGAAAAGCCUGGGCUUAACCUGGGUCGGUCCUGCAAAACUACCAGCCUAGAGUGUAUUAGAGGGAAGUGGAAUUUCCGGUGUAGCAGUGAAAUGCGUAGAUAUCGGAAGGAACACCAGUGGCGAAGGCGACUUCCUGGAAUAUAACUGACACUGAGGUGCGACAGCGUGGGGAGCAAACAGGAUUAGAUACCCUGGUAGUCC
rnacentral:rRNA from 1 species